AAAAAAUUAGUUAAUUAAGUAUAACAUUAAAAUGUCAAAUUAAAAUUAUUAAUAUAUUAAUAUUUUUUA
rnacentral:tRNA from 1 species